GGUUAUUUGCUGCUCGGAUUGGCCACAUUACAUCACAGACUGCUCUCCGGAUCGAAAGGUUCUUCAACUUCUCCUUAGUAGGUCUCUUGCUCCUCAGAUUGGCUUCAAUUCAUUUUUGCAGCAGUCUCCUGCUUCUUCCAUUGGAAUAUUACAUCAAUGGAAUCCACUACAUCCCUUAAAACCAUCACUCUUGGUCAACAGAGUUGUAAGGUAUUUGGACGACUCUUACGCCUAUGGGAUGCAAUAAACAUGAAAUCCAAGUUUGCAGAUCCUCUCAUCAGCAUUGAUGGUGUCCUUUUAGAUGAAGAUGGCAACAUGGCGCAGAUCAGUGUACCCAAAAAUUUCAAAGACAAUUCUGCCCCUUACUCACAGAAGGACAUGUCUACAUCUUUAAUGAUAUUGCAGCUGUUGAUAUAAAAAAACCAUAUAUAUCACCACCAAAACUAUAUGUUGCAAUUUAAGCACAUCACUAAGGUUCACCGACUUGAAACCAGAGGAACAAAUAUACCAAAGUUUUUCUUCAAUUUUUGUCCAUUUGAUAAUCUACCAGAAAAAGAUACUUUUGCAAAACCACUUCAAGAUAUAAUAGGAGUCAUUAGCCACGUUGGGCCAUUUGAUUAUGCAAGUUAGACAUCUACAAAUAAACUCAGGAAAAUCAAAAUUCAAAACCUAGAUGAACAGACACAAGAAAUACGUCUUUGGGGCCACCAUGGUGAAAGAUUUGAUGAAGAAGUUGUACUAGAAAAAAUCACAAGAAGGCAUUGUAGUUGGCAUUUUUGUGGGUCUCACAACUUGGAGCUUUCUAGGUGCCUUGCAUGCAUCCUCAACCUCUGCAACAAAAGUUUACAUUGACUUGGAUACAUCUGAAGUUAAAAACUACCAAACCAGCUAUAAAUGGUAAUCUCCGGCUCUGCGACAACAACUACCUUAGGUUAUGCAUUUAUCUCCUAUUCAAGCAGCAGGGAAAAUGUACACACUUCAACAAAUAUCAGAUAUGCCCACCUCAAAUUUUCAGGAAGGAGCCACCUACAGCACCAUUACAAAAGUUAAUUCUAUUGUACCUUCAACUAAAUGGUACUACAAAGGAUGCAAACGUUGUGACAGAGGAUACAACAACAACUCAGAUACUCCAACAUGCCUUUGCACAAAUUCAUCUCCAAAGCCAUUUUACGAUCUCUGUUUUUAUAUAACAUUUGCCUUCAUUUACAUAUUCUGUUCCAUAUAAACAACUAUCAAAUUCUCUAGGUACAAGCUACCAAUUACACUUACAGAUGACUCGGGAGAUUUAGAUGCCAUUGCUUUCUCUAAAAUUGCUGAAGAACUGGUUGAGCGAGAUGCCAUCCAAGCUUCUCAAAACAUGAAAGUUGAUAUCGCGGAACAUGUGACCGCCCUAGAUAAUGCCAUUGGGAAAACCAGAUUGUUCUAUAUAUGAAUGAAGAUUGAUUUGGUAUACAGAUUCCCCAUAAGUUAUUUCAUAAAGAAAAGCUUCCCAGUUGACAAUGCACAAAUGCUGCCCUCUACAAAUUCAACUCCAAGCAAAGAACUAGAGAACAAUCCAUCAUCAUCAAAGAGCAUCCAGAGUCCAGGGAGCCAAAACACAAGUCCACUUGGGCAAUACUAUGCCUUCCCCUUGCCAAUCUGCAACUAUGGACACCGACAAAAACAUAAAUAGGUACUCUUCAGCGAAAAGAAGCAUCCAAUUUACAGAAGAUGGAGCCACCAACAAAGAGGGUCAACAACAGGAACAUCUUCAGGAUACACAAGUGCAUCUCCAGGUUGUCAAAAAGCAUAAGCAAGAAUAACAAUGUGAAAAUGAACAAAUGUGAAGGACAAGAGGAUAAUGGUAAUAAAAACACAUAGGGCACCGUCAAAUACCAUGCAAGGACCAGGAAAUCUUCAAGACGCACGAAAAGCACCUAUGGAUUGCACCACCUUCCAUUGAAAAUUACCUCCAAAACUAACAUUACAACUACUUCAUGAUCAGCCUAAGCAUGUCAUCAGAUAUCGACUAAUUUUAUGUAAUAAGUCUGGAUUAUGAAAUCUUUGGAUUUGUAUGCACUUUUAUUAAGCUGAUUAUGUCAGUUUUGCUUCCAACUAGUGUCAAUACUUUUCCUUACAAUUGUUUCAAAUAUAUACUAUCUU